rnacentral:tRNA from 1 species
GCACCUGUAGCUCAGUGGAUAGAGCAUCUGUUUUCAAGCUGAAGGUCGUAGGUUUGAUCCUCCCUGGAGCG